rnacentral:rRNA from 1 species
GACGAACGCUGGCGGCAUGCCUAACACAUGCAAGUCGAGCGAGCAGAUCCCUUCGGGGUGAAGCUAGCGGCGGACGGGUGAGUAACACGUGGGCAACUUGCCUCAUAGAGGGGAAUAGCCUUCCGAAAGGAAGAUUAAUACCGCAUAAGAUUGUAGCUUCGCAUGAAGCAGCAAUUAAAGGAGCAAUCCGCUAUGAGAUGGGCCCGCGGCGCAUUAGCUAGUUGGUGAGGUAACGGCUCACCAAGGCGACGAUGCGUAGCCGACCUGAGAGGGUGUUCGGCCACAUUGGGUCUGGGACACGGCCCAGACUGCUACGGGAGGCAGCAGCGGAGACUAUUGCACAAUGGGGGAAACCCAGAUGCAGCAAUGCCGCGUGAGUGAUGGCGGCCUUCGGGUUGUAAAGCUCUGUCUUCGGGGACGAUAAUGACGGUACCCGAGGAGGAAGCCACGGCUAACUACGUGCCAGCAGCCGCAGUAA